rnacentral:rRNA from 1 species
UACGGAGGAUGCAAGCGUUAUCCGGAAUUAUUGGGCGUAAAGCGUCCGCAGGUGGUUGAACAAGUCAGCUGUUAAAGCGUGGGGCUAAACCCCAUAAGGGCGGUUGAAACUGUUUAACUAGAGUUUGGUAGGGGUAGAGGGAAUUCCCAGUGUAGCGGUGAAAUGCGUAGAUAUUGGGAAGAACACCGGUGGCGAAAGCGCUCUACUGGGCCUGAACUGACACUGAGGGACGAAAGCUAGGGGAGCGAAAGGG